rnacentral:misc_RNA from 1 species
UCCACUGUUCGAGAAGCGGCCAAAACAGUUUGGUAUCGGUGGGGCUCUGCCACCGAAGAAGGAUGUAACAAGGAACGUGAGAUGGCCUCGGAAUGUUACCCUCCAAAGGAAGAAGAGGAUUCUCAAGAUGCGAUUGAAGGUUCCUCCUGCUCUAAACCAGUUCACCAAAACCCUUGAUAAGAAUCUCGCUACAAACCUUUUCAAGAUGCUUCUUAAG